CUUUUGUGCAGAGAAGACUGAGAAUUCAGCCCUAGAGAAUUCAGCUCUGGUUGUGAGUGCCUCUUUUCCAGGGCAGAGACUUCUGGAAAAGCAGAUGGAGCCUUGUGGAAUGGGGCUCUCUGCCUCAUCUGGGGAGUGACUCUCGAUUCCCCUCACCUGUCCCUCCCAUCACACCUGGGCUUCUUUGCGGUGACAGUUGCAGAAAAUGAGCCUCCAUCAGCCUGUGUCCCCGCGUGAGGACAGUGUGAAACAGACACUCCAGCUGAGCUGUGAGAGACGAGCAGCAUGAGGCAGAAAUAAACCUUCGUUGUCUUACACUG
rnacentral:lncRNA from 10 species